CAUUUCUCCAACAAGCACAUUCCAGAAUUAAUAAAAUAUUUGUUUUGCUGUGAAACCGAUAACCAUACGUUCACUGUAUCUGCAGAACCCUGGGGCGACCAGCACCUUCUCACACACUGGGUCGUGUGACCUGAUGACAGUUCAGCAUGGAAGUCAUUAAUGCCACUUUAGAGUGAGAAGCUUUGGCCUAUGUGAAGUUCUGGGAGAUGACGCUGCCGAAGGCUGCCCUUCUUGGCCGUCACACAGCUUCCCCGCUGGCCUCCUGCUUCAACAAAUACCCACGGCUUUAGGUCAGGAACCUCUGAGGGAAAGUCACCUCAUAAUUGUGACAUAUCUGGCUGGAGUUUACUUCCCCUUGGGGUGUGCUCUGGAUCUCCUCCACAGUGAUGGCCAGUGCCACCUGGCUGAGGGACUGUGAGUCUUUGCCUCCAUGUGGGUGAAGUUG